UACGGAGGGGGCUAGCGUUGUUCGGAAUUACUGGGCGUAAAGCGCACGUAGGCGGACUGGAAAGUCAGGGGUGAAAUCCCGGGGCUCAACCCCGGACUGCCUUUGUAAACUACCCGGUCUUGAGGUCGAGAGAGGUGAGUGGAAUUCCGAGUGUAGAGGUGAAAUUCGUAGAUAUUCGGAGGAACACCAGUGGCGAAGGCGGCUCACUGGCUCGAUACUGACGCUGAGGUGCG
rnacentral:rRNA from 1 species